rnacentral:rRNA from 1 species
AUUGAACGCGGCGGCAGGCUUAACACUGCAAGUCGAACGGUAACAUAAAGAAGCUUGCUUCUUUGAUGACGAGUGGCGGACGGGUGAGUAAUGCUUGGGAAUCUAGCUUAUGGAGGGGGAUAACUACGGGAAACUGUAGCUAAUACCGCGUAGUAUCGGAAGAUGAAAGUGUGGGACCUUCGGGCCACAUGCCAUAGGAUGAGCCCAAGUGGGAUUAGGUAGUUGGUGAGGUAAAGGCUCACCAAGCCGACGAUCUCUAGCUGGUCUGAGAGGAUGACCAGCCACACUGGGACUGAGACACGGCCCAGACUCCUACGGGAGGCAGCAGUGGGGAAUAUUGCGCAAUGGGGGCAACCCUGACGCAGCCAUGCCGCGUGAAUGAAGAAGGCCUUCGGGUUGUAAAGUUCUUUCGGUAGCGAGGAAGGCACUUAGUUUAAUAAACUAGGUGAUUGACGUUAACUACAGAAGAAGCACCGGCUAACUCCGUGCCAGCAGCCGCGGUAAUACGGAGGGUGCGAGCGUUAAUCGGAAUAACUGGGCGUAAAGGGCACGCAGGCGGUGACUUAAGUGAGGUGUGAAAGCCCCGGGCUUAACCUGGGAAUUGCAUUUCAUACUGGGUCGCUAGAGUACUUUAGGGAGGGGUAGAAUUCCACGUGUAGCGGUGAAAUGCGUAGAGAUGUGGAGGAAUACCGAAGGCGAAGGCAGCCCCUUGGGAAUGUACUGACGCUCAUGUGCGAAAGCGUGGGGAGCAAACAGG